UCCAUUUUCUUGUCUUUUCCAGCUUCUAGGAGGUGUCCACAGUCCUUGGCUCGUGGCCCCCUCCCUCCAUCUUUGAAGCCAGCAAUGUUGUAUCUCUAACCAUCCUGCAGUUAGAGUGCUUCCUCUGACUAUAGACCGGGAAGGUUCUCUGAGUUUAAAGAUUAAAUCCACCUGGAUAAUCUAGGUCAAUCUCCCCUCUCAAGGUCCUUAACUUAAUUACAUCUUCAAAGUCCCUUUUGCUACGUAAUUUAUUCACAGGUUGUUGGGGUUUGGGUAAGGGCAUCUUUGGGGGGCCAUUAUUCUGUCUGCCACACUCUGUACUGUCAGUGAAUCACUGCUGAAAGGUACAUAGGUUUUACUUUAUGAAAAUAGACAGUAUUAGCCAAGUUGUGAACAAUUGUGCCGGUAUUGUUUAUCAUUUAUUCCUCUGGUGGUUGGUGAGAGCCAUAUCUGCUUAGCAGAGUGCUAAUGUACUGCAGGCCUCGCUGGUCAAUGUCUUUGUUUUCAAGGACUAUUAUUCUAGUAAGGAGGAGAGAAUAAACUCAUAUUAGUUGAAUAUCUGCAAUGGGCUAAGCACUCUACAGUGAAUUUUAGAUGCGUUAGUCCCAUUUAAUUUCCACGCCAAGUUCAUAAAUUGUGGUACGAAGCCUACAGAUGACCCUUAAUGAUCCCCACUUCAUAGUAUUCAUGCCCUUGUGUAAUCUUGUCUGUUUGAGUGUAGGCUGGACCUAGUGACUCUCUCACUGAAUGGCGUGGGACAAAAGUGCUAGGGUAUGGUUUCUGGGAUUAGGUUGCAGAAGACUGUGACUUCCCUCUUGCUCCCACUCUCUCUCUUUCCCUUUCACCAGCUUGUUUUGAUGAAGCAAGCCGCAACAUGGAAUGUUGCCCCAUAGAGAGACCAUAUGUCAAGGAACUGGGGGCGGCCUCCAGCCAACAGCCGGAGGGAACCAAGACCCUCAGUGCAACAGCUUGCGAGGAACUGAAUCCUACCAACAACCAGAGCAUGAACUUAGAAGCGGACCCGUCUCUAGAUGAGCCUUGAGAUGACUGCAGCCCCAGUGAACACCUUGACGGCAGCCUUGUGAGAGGUCCUGAGCCAGAGAACACUGCUAAGCCGCACCAGAUUCCUGACCCACAGACCUUACAAGAUAGAGAGGAUACUGCCUCCACCUCGCAGUCAGACAGACCCUGUACCAGCCCUAGAGGAAUAAGCUUGAAGUCAUUUCCAGGUAAUCCCUAGGUCUCCAGGCCUAAUCAAACCGAAGGAACAGUGAAGAGAGAUAUAUUAUAACAAAAUUCAUCAUUUUGGAGCCCCAACAGAUGGAAGCACAGAGGCAUUUACAGUUAAUCCACAGAUUCGUGAAGCUGCAAUUUUUAAAAAUUUCCUUACUUCAUGACUAUAUGAAACAUAGAGGAAUGAAUGGUGGCACUACGUUUACGGAUGGGUGGUCUAGUAAGCUGAUAAUGGUCCCAAAGUUAUCAAGUCCUAACCCUUGAAGCCUGUGAAUGUUAUCUUAUGUGGAAAAGAUCUUGAGAUGGAGAGGUUAUCCUGAAUUACUGGAUGGAUCUUAAAUGCAAUCAAGUGCCCUUAUAAAAGAGAGGCAGAGGGAAAUUUGACACAGAGAAGACACACACAAAAACAGAGGAGAAGGUGAUGUGAAGAUGGAGCAAAGAGAGAUUUGAAGAUACUGGCCUUGAAGAAUGGAGUGAUGCAGACACAAGUCAAGGAAUGCUGGCAGCCACCAAAAGCAAGAAGAGGCAAGGAACAGAUUCACCCCACCAGAGGGAGCAUGACCUUGACACCUUGAUUUCAGACCAAUGAUACUGAUUUUGGAUUUCAAGCCUACAGAACUAUGAAAGAAUAAAUUUAUUUAUUUUUUUUUAGACA